rnacentral:rRNA from 1 species
ACAGUCACACAUUAGAUACCCGGGUAGUCCUGGCCGUAAACGAUGUGGACUUGGUGUUGGAAUGGCUCCGAGCUGCUCCAGUGCCGAAGGGAAGCUGUUAAGUCCACCGCCUGGGAAGUACGGUCGCAAGACUGAAACUUAAAGGAAUUGGCGGGGAGCACCACAACGGGUGGAGCCUGCGGUUUAAUUGGACUCAACGCCGGAAAUCUCACCGGAUAGGACAGACAUAUGAUAGUCGGGCUGAAGACUCUACUUGAUGAUCUG